rnacentral:lncRNA from 1 species
CACCGACUGGAAACAUUGACCACCGAGUAGCAUAACUUCCUUCUGAUCCUUAAGUCUUCUAAGCAGAGAGCUAAGUGAGUAUAAGAAGAAAAAUUCGUUGGCUGUACCAAUUCACUGACUGCAGUAGAGAGCAACGAACUAGACAGUUCAUUCCUUUCUUCCUUUCUUGUUUUCUUUCUAAAAUAGAAUCGAGUGUGAGGAAAAAGAAUUUUGCAAGCUUCACCAUCAGCUAACCAAAAUAAAGCAAACAAAGGCAGAGAGACAGGAGAGAUAGCUGGUGCAGACGUGAGGGAACAAGCUGGAAAGAAAAUCUAAUCCUGUCUGCAAUUCCUAACACUAAAAGGCAAAAGGUAAAUUUUUGUGACUAAUCUCUACUUACUGAGUAUAAAUAAGUGUAUAUUCGAAUUGUAAGCCGAGUAUUAGCAGAGGAAAUUGAGCUUCGACUGAGGAAAAAUUCUGGUUUGAAAUCUGAAGGUUCACUGACUGGACCUGUGAGAAUUGAGUGAUGAUCGACUGAAAUUGCAGGUUGUUAUCAAAGGAAAAUGGAAGAGUGUUGUAGAAAAUGUAUGAAAAUGCCUGUUUCUGGCAUAAAGUGAAAUUUAGCUGUAGAAACUUGUAAAAGUUGGAACUUUAAGCUGAAUUUAUUGAAAGAAACCUGAUGAAAAUCUGUUAGCUUCACACGAGAGAAAUGGAGCUAAGAAACAUUAGCUGUCUUCUGCAAAUUUGGCUUUUAAACUUUUGUAUCAAGCUGUGAUGUGUUAUAAAACAUCUUAACUUCGUCAAGCAAGACAGAAAUGAGUGGAAACUAAAGUGAACGAAGAAUGAAUUUAAUUGACUGCAGGUAGGUUGGCCGAGGGAAUGAAGCAGGCUAUGCAACUUGUUGUUGCUGAUUCUGGAACUUUUAUUAAUGAACACAUAGAAAAUAUGUUAAUCCCUUGAUUUAACAGAUAGGUGCCUUUGAAAUUAGCAACCUUAAGAAAAGUCUAGCUGAAUUUGGUAAAAGAAAGCUGAUGCAAUCUGCUAUGAUACUAAAGGGAAGGAAAUCAGCUUUUGGAGCAGCUUGUCUUCUAAUGUCUGAUUCUGUGAACUUCCACAGGUAGAACUAAGGUUACUCUGUGGUUUAGUAACUAUGACUAGUUCCAUGAGUAGAGUUGAACUAAGGCAAAUAGGGAGGAAAACUAUGAAAUGUGCUGCUGAAUUACCUCAUGGCCGAGAGAAGAAGGGAAGAGUUGAUCAGUCUUUUCCUCUAAGUUAGCUGCAAAAUUUUCCACGUUCUGUACAGGGUUACUUUGUAGCUUAAUAAAUGUAAUUAACCUGUCUAGUUGGGAUAUAAAAUUGGAAGGAGGAACUUGAGAGAAACGGCAAACGUUGGACUGAUAUAUUGCUAGGAAGCUACUUGAAGGCCACGAUAGCUGAUGGCAGUUUUUGUAGGGGAAUUUGGUCGAAAAACCUGUUGAAAUUAUGAGUCAUGUACCUUAAUUCAUGUUGGACAGAAUGUGUAUUGUGUGUUUGGUGAUCUAGGCAAGUAAAAGUUAGAAACUCUACCAAAAACUUUGAAGUAAGGUUGCUGGAAAUUUGUUUAAUGGCCGAGAGAGGGGCUGAAACUCUCAUGUGAUAUUUGGAAAAUUUCAUGAUAAUUGGCUACCAUCUUGAAUGAGACGUUGUACAAUAUCCUGUCACUGUUCUUAUGUGCACUCUAUUGACUUUUAACAUCUGAAAGGUUGGUAAAACCUUAGGAAAUUCUAGCUAAAACUAGUAAAGAAAAGCUGAGAUCCAAACUAUUACAUUGUUGGAGAAACUAACGUUUGAUGGAAUGGAUUGCUGGAAAUAGAUGCUGCUUACCUUGAUCUAUGCUAGACCGAAAGUACAUUGAAAUACUUAAAACUGUAAGCAAGUAAAAGAGUAAAGUUUUAUUGAAAACUUGAAGUAUACAGCUGGAAUUUCGGUUUGUUGGUUGAAAUGGGGGUUAGUUAAGCUUUCUAUGAUAUUUUUGGAAACUCUAAGGUAACUCGUUAUAGCUAUAUACAUAACAUGGUUUCAAAUCACCUAAUCUUGUCCUCACAAGCAUUUUAAAGAUUUUAGAACUUGAAAGAUUUUAGAACUUGAAGGACUAGUAUAGAGAAAUAAAAUCUAAAUUACAAAUGGCUUAAAGUUAAUUAAUAAAAGGGAAUCAAUGGAGUGUUCCUAAGCUUUAAUCUUAGAAUAUUCAGUGGAAAAUGGUUUAAUUAUAAUUUAAAUAUUUUAUAAAUUAUACACUUGGAAAAUACAUAUAUUUCUUGGUUUAAAAUGAUAAAGUCAAAAAGUCGCGAAAUGAAAUGUAGAAUAAAUAUUGAAUAUAUUAUAUUUUGUAUUUUGAAGUCAAACUUGAUUUUAAUAGUUCAAAUAAUAGGGUAAUAAAUGGUAAAUGAACAUUUACAAAUUGUAUAUUUAUUUUAGAGUUAUAAAUUGUCUCAGGGGAUAGCUGUGAGCCAGGAAACAAACCCGAGACUCGAGAGUAAUUUAUUUGGAUAUUUGGUGAGUGUUUCCAAAAUUUAAUGUGUUUAACUGUUUAUGUUUACUGUCGCGCCCCUUUUUUUGAGAAAACUAAAUAAACGGUUUAAAAAGUGAAUUUUUGAUUUGAAAAAUGAAUCUUUGAUUUAAAAAGAAAAAUGGGCCUAAAUGGGACUUGUAAUGCGACGAUUUGGGCCCAAAAUAAGGUUUAAAAAGGGUUUUUGAAUAGAAAAUCGGAGUCGCCACUUGGUAUUGAGUUAAGGUGUACCAAGUCACCUAAAAAUGAAUUUUGAUGAAAUCAUGUAAAACCCUUUUUAAACGACUCCUAAGUCUACGAAAAUUAGAGAAAAAAGAUUCGGGAGUCACAUUUGAAGAAAGGGAAGGCAAGGACAAAAAUCCGAGGCAUCCUUUCAACCUAGCCAAGGCUAGUUGCGUGAUUUAGUCAAAGAUUUUCUUGUUUUAACCUAAAGAUUUAUCACAUUUGAAUGUGCUAUAUGAAUGCAAACUGUAGACACCAAAUUUUUACUCUUUUAUUUAUUUAUUUACUAUUUUUGUUUAAUUUAUCUCAAAAUUUCAUUUUUUUAGCAUUUUGGACAUCAAAUCUUUUAAUUUAGUUUUACUUGUUAAUUUUAUUCAUUUUUGCUUAUUUGUCUAUUAGUUUUAAGACGUUUAAGCAUUAAUAUUUUUCGGGAAAAAAGAGAAUUGCUCACAAAAAAAAUAUUCUUUAAAUUUUAGAUUCAAUUUAGGGAGGUUUGCUAUUUAUUUAUUUUGUUAAAAAAAAAAAAGGGCUCAUGCACCAUGCGGCACUGGAUCCAAGCUCUUUCUCAAUAUUUCAAGGCAGAAACAAGCUUCAGACAUCACAAAAAAAUUGCAGCUGGCUUUUUCUUCCCAUUUGAUUCGUUACUCCAAAGGGUUCCCAGUACAAACGGGAUCAAAGGGGCAAGAGCAGGCCACAUAAACCCAUUUCUGGGGUUUGACAUCUCGGCCUUCCAUCGUAGGUUGAGGUUUUGGGGUUCCUUUAAAUGCUAGAGCCGCAGCCAAGAAGGGGGGGUAACAACUGACGAAAGAGAGUGGGACGGCUAGGAAAAAUCUGGGACAAAGAAAUAGAGCGGUGGCGGAGACAGAGAGAAAAGAAAAACCAGGGGAAUGAGGAGAGCUUGAGAGGCUAGCGACGGCUGGGAGGUUGAACAGUGGCGAGGUUUUUGAUAGAGAAAGAAACUAAGAAAACGCAGGGCUGUGGGUGGUUGACGGCUAGAAAAGAAAGAGACUAGAGAGAGAGGAGGCUGAGGACGGCUAGGAAAAAGAAACCAGAGAGGAGAAAGGUGCAGCGGCUGGGGUCUUGGGAAUCUGGAGCUGACGGCUAGGGUUCUGGACAAGAAAGCUAAGGGUUUCAGAGAAGAUCUGGGGAAGUAAAGGGGCGGUAGAAAGAGAUCUGAAAGGGAGAAAACAGCAGAGGAAAAGGGAAAACGAGGUGCUGCUACCGCUGCAACAAAUCUGCCUGGGCGUUGUUUUUCCCAGAAACCAACGUCACUUUCCUGAGCUUUCCCGUUUGAUUUACUUCACAGACGUUUGCAGGUGACUCUAGCCUUUCUUGCUGCCAUUUUCAUACCAUUUUGUGAAGAUCUGGGGUUCAUUGCAUGAAUUUCCUCCUUGUGCAUGCAUGUUUUGUUCCCUUUCUUUGUGGUUUCAUCUCUGGUUCUUUGUAGAAACCCGUGUGGCCAUGUGGUAACUUGUUUCAGCUCUAUAUCUCUGUGUUUGAAUCGUGUGUUGUUAUAGUUCAUGAAACCCAGGGUAUAGGAAUCAUUUCCAGCCUCCCCUUAGUCGAUGAUUAGUCUUCAUUUUGCCGAAAGGAGGUUGUAGAAAUUUUGGCAGGCUCUUUUCCUCUAAUUUUUGUAUUUAAACAUGAGAGUUUUGUGGCUCAAAGUGAAAAAUGUGCGGUCAUGUUGUAACUUUGAUUCAUGUUUCAUCGAUUAAAUCCAGUAGUGGUGUUUGAAUGAACAAAACCAGAAAACUGCAGCAAGAAACAGGCUACAGACGCAAAUGAAAGAAAGCUGCAUUUCUUUGUCAUGUUUUGCUGCUUUACUUUUGUCCUGUAACAGCCCACGAAGUUGAGUUUCCUCACUUUGUUUGCAUGCUCAAUCUUAUGUCAAUGAUAGUUGUAGAGAAAUUGAUGAGGCUUGGGUUUUGUUUAUAGCUUUGGCCAUCUUUCUGGUUUGUUAACAAGCUGCGAUAUGGUAGGAAAAAUGCAGCAGGCCUGCACUUUCGAUUGCUGAAGCUUUUAGUUUGAUUGAAAUUUGUGGUUUUAUACCAUGUACAUGCUCACACUGAGUUUCCUACUCUUGUAUCUUUGCUGCAUUUUUCACACACGAGCACUUUAGGUGAAUGUUUAAAUGUUGUUUUGAUCAAGCUUAGCUAGAGGUUGCUGAAAUUCCAAAGUAGCGGGAAAAACCAUGAGUUGUCCAGAUUUUGUAUGCCCUUUUGGCCAACUUUUGGUGUUUAAAAUGAGAGGAUAAGAUAGUGGUCUUGUUAUUCUAAGGGUGAAACUUGUUAAGAGCUGCGGAAAACCUGCUAUUCUACAAAUUGCAGCAGAGAUGUUGGCCGCAAAUUGCAGAAAGCUUUGCUGCGCCUUUUAUUCUUCCUUCUUUUGCUAUUUAAUUUUUUUACCCUUGAUGGUCAGCCUCAGUUCUUGUUUCAAUCCUGCAAUGAAGUUGCAUGUUUAGUCAAUGAUUGAUACUUUAAAUCCUGGCAUUUGGUGGACAUGGUUGCAUGAUGAACUGGAAAGAAAGUCACGGCAGGAAUGGUGCAGAAAAGAAAACUCCUUCUACGUUGUUUGCAUGCAUGAAAUAAAGGAAAAAUUGCAUUUUAACCCUUUAAUUUGUGUUUAAUUCUAUUAUGGCCUGGAAAAUUGGGAAGACUAAUCAAUUGGGUCCCAUAAAAAUGUUGUCUUUGAUUGAUAUGUUCAAUGUAGUUCUUGGACAGAUCAUUCAUGAAUUUUAGAACGAAUUUUUGAGGUUUAAUCGUUUGAGGGCUUUAUGAUUUUGAUGUGUUUUUUUUUAGUGAAAUUUUUGAGUUUUGUUGUUUAAUUGUCACGAGUGAUCACUUUUUUCGUGAAUUUUAGCAUUUGAUUGAUAGGUCUCAUCUCAAGCCAUCAAUUUUGGUAUUUUAUUGUAGACCCUUAAAAUAAUUUUUUUUUAAUUUAAUCAUUUUAUUUAGGACCUUGUUUGCUUUAAUUUCUGGCAUAUGGAUGGUUUAUUUUAUGUCAAUACCCUAAGUGACUCCAUUUCGUGUUUAGUUUUCAUUUCGUGUUUAAUUUCAUGUAAUUAAUUAUUAAUUAAAGUGAUGCCUUGACCCUUUUUUUAUUUUUUGGAGGGUAAAUAAGUAAAUUCCGUCUCCUUAAGCCAUCAAUUCAAGGGAGGUACACUCUAUCCCUUAUUUUCACUUUAUUUGACCCUACGUGCAUAUAUGUGUCUUAUGUGUACAAUUGCAUGAUUUUAAGUGUUUAUUUCAUUUUUACUUUAUUUAUUUUUCUAGUUGCUUAUUUUUUGCUUUAAUUUUAGUUCAAUUUUAUCAUUUGGGAGGCACUUGAAUGCCAAGUUGUAAUAGUUAGGUUUAUUUUAUUCAUUCCUUCUUAUUUCCCCUUUUAAAUUGUAGUAGGCCUUCCCCCUAAAAAUGUAAUAGUUAGGGCCUUAAUUGUCUUGUGUGUUUUGCAUGUCUAUGUGUUAUGUGUUUAAUCGCUUUCUUAGGUUUUGGCAUCUAGAUAUGCAUGCUUAUGUGUUAUGUGAAUUACGUGCUCACAUGUCUACUUGCUUUAAUUAUGCAUAUUACUUAUAUAUGUGUAUGAUCGAUGCAAAUGCACGUAACCGUGGCUAGUCCAAUGCUAGUCAUGGUUGUCCCCUCGAGCUCUUACAAGUCCAAUGCUUGUGAGAGAGUGUAGAUGUGGGCUAGUCCAACGCUAGACCCAAUAGGGCCCCUUCUCGCUAGUACAUACUCGCAUGCCUUCACUACAUCUUCAUUCAUUCUUUCCUUUUAGUUUUACACUUUUGCAUGACCCUUCACUCCCUUUCCCUUGCACAUUUAGGAUUGCAUUUUCAUUUAGACUAGCUCAUUUGCUUGUAUAGGUUAGGAAGUCACCCUUCUGGUAAGGGAAACGAGCGAGUAUGGCUACACAUAGCCUUAGCACGCUAGUUCUUCAUUCUAACCAAAAGGCAAAUUAAAAGUCACGACUUAGAGUCUCCCCGUACCCAUCUUGCUUGCACUCCUCUAGGGUUCAUGCAUUUCAUUUACCCCCUAUCAUCUCACACAACUCUUAUUUUGUACAUCUUCACUCUACCACUCGCACUUUAUAUACUAUCACUUGCACACAUGCACUUUAUGCUAUCACACAUACAUUUUACACUAUCACUUUACAUACCUCACAUUGCACACUCAUUUUUGCACACUCCCACUCAUACACCAUUAUCUUUUAGUACUUUUCUUUUUACUUCACACAAGCUCAUGUUUUCACAUUACAUACAUUCAUUCCACUCAUUCUUACGUCAUUAGCAUUAUUCAUGACCUCUCCAAAGGAUCAUUAUUGGGCAUCACAAUUAAUGUGAUUGGCACCACUCAAUCUUUGAAGAGAAAUUUUGCCCCCGAUGUCCCCCUAGGUCUAGGUUUUGCAUUCAUAAAGUGCAUCCAAAUGUGAUAAAUGUUUUGGUUAAAACAAGAAAAUCUUUGACUAAAUCGCGCAACUAGCCUUGGCUAGGUCGAAGGGGUGCCUUGGAUUUUUAUCCUUGCCUUCCCCUUCGAGUCAAAUGUGACUCCCGAACCUUUUUCGUUGGUUUACGUAGACUAGGAGUCGUUUAAAAGGGAUUUUCUUUUUACCUUUUCCUCUAAAAAAUCAUUUUUAGGUGACUUGGUACACCUUAACUCUAUACCAAGUGGCGACUCCGAUUUUUAUUUCAAAAACCUUUUUAAACUAUAUUUUGGGUCAAAUCGUCGCAUUUUCAAGUCCCAUUUAGACCCACUUUCUUUGUAAAUCAAAAAUCACUUUUCAAAUCAAAAAUUCACUUUCAAAUCAUUUAUUUAUUUAUUUAAUUUAUUUUUCUUGUAAAAAAUGGGGCGCGACACAAACCCUAGACCUAGGGGGGCAUCGGGGGGCAAAAUUUCUCUUCAAAAGCUUGAAUGGUGCCAAUCACAUUAAUUGUGAUGCCCAAUAAAGAUUCUUUGGAGAGGUCACGAAUAAUGCAAAAUAUGAGACUCCAAGAAAAGAAAAGGGGUAAAAUAAUUAUAGAAAUAUACAUGUCCUAAAGGAGUGCAUCAUGUCGGGUACGGGGGACUAAUGUUCGUGACUCAAUUUUUCCUUUUAAUAGAGGGAAUACGGGCGUGCUAAGACUAGAAAGCCAAACUCGUCCAUAUCCCAUAUUCAAGGGGUAACUUCCUAACCUAUGCACGCAAAUGAGCUUAUUAACUAGAAUGAAAUGCAAAAACCCUAUUAUCAUACUUCAAAUGUGGGAAAAGGGCGAAGGGUCAUGCAAAAAUGUAAAAAUACUAAAAAGAAAAAAAAUGCAUGAACAUGAGAUGAAGGCAAGCGAAUGUACUAGCGAGGGACGGUCCUAUUGGAUCUAGCAUUGGACUAGUCCUUCACUAGUGCUCUCUCACAAGCAUUGGAUUUGUAAGAGCUCGAGGGGAAGACCAUGACUAACGUUGGACUAGCCACGGUUUCGUGCAUUUGCAUCCAUCAUACAUACAUAAGUAAAUGUGCAUAAUUAAAGCGAGUAGGCAUGUGAGCACGUAAUUCACAUAACACAUAAUACAUAAGCAUGCAUAUCUAGACGCCUAACCCUAAGAAAGCAAUUAAACACAUAGCAAAUAUGCAUGCAAAUCGCACAAAGAAAAAAACAAAGAAACCCUAACUAUUACAUUAGGAGGGGGAAGCCUACUACAAUCUAAAAGGGGAAAUAAGAAGGAAUAAAACAAUUAAAUUCCUAACUAUUACAAUUUUGGCAUUCGAGUGCCUCCCAAAUGAUAAAAUUGUACUAAAAUUAAAGCAAAAACUAAGCAACUAAAGAAAUAAAUAAAGUGAAAAUGAAAUAAACACUUAAAGUCAUGCAAUUGC